UUAGGGUUGCAAGUACUUCAAGAGAAGCAUUUUAUCCACCGAGAUUUAAAGCCUCAGAAUUUACUUUUAUCGUCCAAGGAAGUAACUCCAUUGCUAAAGAUUGGAGAUCUUGGGUUUGCAAGGUCUCUACAACCGCAGAGCAUGGCGGAAACAUUUUGUGGUUCUCCAUUGUAUAUGGCUCCAGAAAUUAUUCAGAACCAAAAGUAUGAUGCAAAGGUGA